rnacentral:rRNA from 6 species
UUUCCAGAGAUGGAUUGGUGCCUUCGGGAACUGUGAGACAGGUGCUGCAUGGCUGUCGUCAGCUCGUGUUGUGAAAUGUUGGGUUAAGUCCCGCAACGAGCGCAACCCUUAUCCUUUGUUGCCAGCGAUUAGGUCGGGAACUCAAAGGAGACUGCCAGUGAUAAACUGGAGGAAGGUGGGGAUGACGUCAAGUCAUCAUGGCCCUUACGACCAGGGCUACACACGUGCUACAAUGGCGCAUACAAAGAGAAGCGACCUCGCGAGAGCAAGCGGACCUCAUAAAGUGCGUCGUAGUCCGGAUUGGAGUCUGCAACUCGACUCCAUGAAGUCGGAAUCGCUAGUAAUCGUGGAUCAGAAUGCCACGGUGAAUACGUUCCCGGGCCUUGUACACACCGCCCGUCACACCAUGGGAGUGGGUUGCAAAAGAAGUAGGUAGCUUAACCUUCGGGAGGGCGCUUACCACUUUGUGAUUCAUGACUGGGGUGAAGUCGUAACAAGGUAACCGUAGGGGAACCUGCGGUUGGAUCACCUCCUUACCUUAAAGAA